rnacentral:misc_RNA from 1 species
AACGCACCUUGCACCCUUUGGUAUUCCGAAGGGUACACCCGUUUGAGUGUCAUUGUAAUCUCACUCUUGCAGCUAUGCUGUUGGAUGUGGAUAUGGACUCUGUCGUGUUGCAACGGCUGGUCUGAAAUGUAUGAGUGUACCCUGCUGCUGCAGCGUCUUCAGUGUGAUAAGAAUCUUCACUGAUACAAGUUCCCUAUGGGACACGCAUGUGCAACAGGCUCUGCACUGCCAAAUGUCUGUCACAGACAAUCUGACAGUUUGACCUCAAAUCGGGUGGGACUACCCGCUGAACUUAA